UACGUAGGGUGCGAGCGUUAAUCGGAAUUACUGGGCGUAAAGCGUGCGCAGGCGGUUUUGUAAGCCAGAUGUGAAAUCCCCGGGCUUAACCUGGGAAUGGCAUUUGGGACUGCAAGGCUCGAGUGCGGCAGAGGAGACUGGAAUUCCUGGUGUAGCAGUGAAAUGCGUAGAUAUCAGGAGGAACACCGAGGGCGAAAGCGGCUUCCUGGUCCAGCACCGACGUUCAGGCACGAAAGCGUGGGGAGCAAACAGG
rnacentral:rRNA from 1 species